GUGCGGCUGGUCUAAUGGUAAGACUCUAGCCUUCCAAGCUAGCGAUCGGGGUUCGAUUCCCCGGCUGCACA
rnacentral:tRNA from 1 species